UUUCUCCUAAUCUGGGCUUCACUCUUUCAGUCAAGCUCUUCAUUUGGUGAUUUUUUUCUGCAAAUUGCAAUCUCUCUCUUUUUCUUCACUCUUUCGAUGUUUGUCCAUCUUUGUUCUAUAUAUCAUCUGGUUGGACCUCUCUGUUUUGGAAAUCUUUUUUUUAUUUUAUUGCAGUUCCUUUAUUGGUAAUUUGGACGAUUUGGUGGACAUAUAAUAGUUUCUAUUCUUAUGAAGAAAUUUAUAGCAAGAAAUUGUUCAUGCAUGUGACUAAUUGUACCUAAUUUCAUUUACCUUAUAUUUUUAUUAAAGGAUCUGGUAAUUUGACCUAGGGAUUGAACAGGUUGAUAAAGGUUCAAUUCAUGAUGGAACUGGUCUGGUUACUUUCUCUUUGAAGAAUCAACGUGUUUUUAUUUCGACCUUUCAAAGUUAUCCGUGUUCUUGCCCAGUUAUUAUUUUAUGCGCAAAUUUUGUGCAUAAUUUCCAAACAAGGGAGUGGAGUGGGAGAGUUUGGAAGAGAAGAGCAUAUGACGUUUUUUGCGGCAGUAUAAAAAGGGCCUUUCAGGCUCAAGAAGAUUUGUGGCUUAAAGCCAAUUUUUAAUUAGGGGCCUUUCAGAAAGAAAAAAACAAUUCAUGUGCCGGAAAAUGAAUGCAAUUUUAACAACAGCCAGCAACUUACGGACAAAGCAUUUACUACUACUACUAAGUUUGAAGAUUUCCUUCACUCCUCAGAUGCAUUGCUGUCCAUUGGCUGGAGAGAGCAAAGCUGUCGACAACAGCACAUUGUGACUUAUUUCUUUGCUCUCUCUCUCUCUCUCUCCAAACGAAGAAAUGUCAUCUUAUGAACUGCUUCCCUCUGCAACACAUAGUGGAGUAAUUAAUUUCAAAUAAAUGAUUCUUUGUUUCUCUCUCCAAUAUUCAAUGCAAUUCACCAGUUCGACAUGGUUAGCUUAGCGUUCCUUGUGACGGAAAAUAAUGUGUUUAAUAUACGUGUGUCCUCCAUUGAAAUCGUUCCUAUGGAGUUUGGUUUCAAAAAUCAAAUAAUGCUCCACCCGUUUUUAUAAGGGGAAGCUGCUGUACUAAAUUCUCAUUAGGGACACAUUGGAUUUACCGCACACACUCUUACUUUGCAAAAGAUUAUUUCACGAUUCGAACCUGCGACAUUUUGAUCAGAUACACGGCAGCUAUUUUUACUGUUAGACCAAUUUUAGGCCAUUUUCUCUUAACGGGUAACAUGCUAGGAGGCAGAGGUGGAGCUACUUAUUCUCUAAUCCAUAUUUUAUUUUUCUUUUCAAGAUUUUCAUUCAAACUAAUAAUGAGAUUUCGAGUAUCUAUCUCCUUAUCCAUACCUUAUUUCCUUUUUUUCUUAUAAUCUCAUGCAAGAUUAUCCGGGUGAACCAAGUAAUUUCAACACCCGGUUCACCGCACAUAAUUUCAUAAACUUCUUUCUUAUAAAAUUCCUUUGAAUAUAAAGUUCUUCCAUUAAAAUCUACGAAUUUAUUGAUUCAGAUGGGUCGGGUUGGGUCGACUCUCAUAAUUGGGUUAAUAUUUGUUGGAUGA